AGAGUUUGAUCAUGGCUCAGGAUGAACGCUGGCGGCGUGCCUAACACAUGCAAGUCGAGCGAACCCUUUCGGGGUGAGCGGCGGACGGGUGAGUAACGCGUGGGUAACUGCCCUGUACACACGGAUAACAUACCGAAAGGUAUGCUAAUACGAGAUAAUAUAUUUUAAUCGCAUGGUUAAGAUAUCAAAGCUCCGGCGGUACAGGAUGGACCCGCGUCUGAUUAGCUAGUUGGUGAGGUAAUGGCUCACCAAGGCGACGAUCAGUAGCCGACCUGAGAGGGUGAUCGGCCACACUGGAACUGAGACACGGUCCAGACUCCUACGGGAGGCAGCAGUGGGGAAUAUUGCACAAUGGGCGAAAGCCUGAUGCAGCAACGCCGCGUGAGCGAUGAAGGCCUUCGGGUCGUAAAGCUCUGUCCUCAAGGAAGAUAAUGACGGUACUUGAGGAGGAAGCCCCGGCUAACUACGUGCCAGCAGCCGCGGUAAUACGUAGGGGGCUAGCGUUAUCCGGAAUUACUGGGCGUAAAGGGUGCGUAGGCGGUCUUUCAAGCCAGAAGUGAAAGGCCACGGCUCAACCGUAGUAAGCUUUUGGAACUGUAAGACUUGAGUGCAGGAGAGGAGAGUGGAAUUCCUAGUGUAGCGGUGAAAUGCGUAGAUAUUAGGAGGAACACCAGUAGCGAAGGCGGCUCUCUGGACUGUAACUGACGCUGAGGCACGAAAGCGUGGGGAGCAAACAGGAUUAGAUACCCUGGUAGUCCACGCCGUAAACGAUGAGUACUAGGUGUCGGGGGUUACCCCCCUCGGUGCCGCAGCUAACGCAUUAAGUACUCCGCCUGGGAAGUACGCUCGCAAGAGUGAAACUUAAAUGAAUUGACGG
rnacentral:rRNA from 1 species